CUGCACAGCCGUUUUUCGCAGCUGCAGCUAAUCUCCAAGAUUCAACCCAGCAAUACUUAAACCCGGGCUGAUCACCGCCAGUUCGUUAUCUACAACCCAUGUGUUACCGCUCUGACCUGCUGCUUCCUCCGCUGUGCCUGCAUGCUUCCAGCCUCACCGUCCAGCCUCAUCCUCCACCUUGGGAAACCACCUGUGUACUCAUCUCUGCCUGUCCGCCUCGUGUCCCGUAACAACUUGGACUCUUCCCCGUCGGCUCGCCUCAAACCUCGGACCUGCCAGGAGUUUCCCCGCCCUGACACAACCUACAUUGUUUCUUUGAGUACACUCUGUUUCAUUAAACCUUUUAAAAC